rnacentral:rRNA from 1 species
CACGCUGUAAACGAUGAGAGCUAGGUAUUGGAAUUUAAUUUCAGUACUGUCGCUAACGCAGUAAGCUCUCCGCCUGGGGAGUAAGAUCGCAAGAUUGAAACUUAAAGGAAUUGACGGGGAUUAGAACAAUUGGUGGAUUAUGCGGUUUAAUUCGAAGGUACACGAAAACCUUACCAGCUUUUGACAUGUUAGUCGUAGGAAUAAGAAACUAUUCCGUCGGUUCGGCCGGACUAACACAGGUGC